rnacentral:piRNA from 1 species
UAAAAAAUGCUUGCAGCAAUUAAGA